rnacentral:rRNA from 1 species
UACGAAGGGGGCUAGCGUUGUUCGGAAUUACUGGGCGUAAAGCGCACGUAGGCGGAUCGAUCAGUCAGGGGUGAAAGCCCAGGGCUCAACCCUGGAAUUGCCUUUAAGACUGCAUCGCUUGAACAUCGGAGAGGUAAGUGGAAUUCCGAGUGUAGAGGUGAAAUUCGUAGAUAUUCGGAAGAACACCAGUGGCGAAGGCGACUUACUGGACGAUUGUUGACGCUGAGGUGCGAAAGCGUGGGGAGCAAACAGG